rnacentral:tRNA from 1 species
AAGUAGAGAAGUAAAUAAUACAAUUAGCUUCGACCUAAAUAUUUAAGAACAAGUUUCUUCCUACUUA